rnacentral:rRNA from 1 species
AUUGAACGCUGGCGGCAUGCCUUACACAUGCAAGUCGAACGGCAGCACGGACUUCGGUCUGGUGGCGAGUGGCGAACGGGUGAGUAAUAUAUCGGAACAUACCUUGUAGUGGGGGAUAACUAUCCGAAAGGAUAGCUAAUACCGCAUACGCUCUAAGGAGGAAAGUGGGGGAUCGCAAGACCUCAUGCUAUAAGAGUGGCCGAUAUCUGAUUAGCUAGUUGGUGAGGUAAAGGCUCACCAAGGCAACGAUCAGUAGCUGGUCUGAGAGGACGACCAGCCACACUGGAACUGAGACACGGGCCAGACUCCUACGGGAGGCAGCAGUGGGGAAUUUUGGACAAUGGGGGCAACCCUGAUCCAGCAAUGCCGCGUGAGUGAAGAAGGCCUUCGGGUUGUAAAGCUCUUUUGUCAGGGAAGAAACGGUUGUGGCUAAUAUCCAUGGCUAAUGACGGUACCUGAAGAAUAAGCACCGGCUAACUACGUGCCAGCAGCCGCCGUAA